GAUCAUGGCUCAGGACGAACGCUGGCGGCGUGCUUAACACAUGCAAGUCGAACGGAGCACCCUUGAUUGAGGUUUCGGCCAAAUGAUAGGAAUGCUUAGUGGCGGACUGGUGAGUAACGCGUGAGGAACCUGCCUUUCAGAGGGGGACAACAGUUGGAAACGACUGCUAAUACCGCAUGAUGCGUAACUGGAACAUCCCGGAUACGCCAAAGAUUUUAUCGCUGAAAGAUGG
rnacentral:rRNA from 1 species